CUCGGCAGACAACUCCUCAUUUGGUAGCAAUGAGAUUCUUAGCUGCAGUUAAGGAGUCUUCCGAGCCUCACAUUAAUAUGUCAUUUUUCAUCAAUUAUAAUCCUGAAGAUAUUCUAAGACAGGCGAAAGAAUCAACACUCCGAUACGAAAAUGGUACUCCAAUUUCGGUUCUUGAUGGAGUGCUGGUUGCUGUUAAAGAUGAGAUUGAUUGCAUGUCUUAUCCAACUACUGG